CUGUUCCCUGGAGUUCCUCUGAUCACUUCAUUGGGGCUAUUUUACGACACUUGACACAGGGAAUUUGGUCCUACUGAAGUGUUUGGGGGAACUCUGGUAGACAG
rfam:Gossypium hirsutum cultivar TM-1 chromosome 15, whole genome shotgun sequence